rnacentral:tRNA from 1 species
GUGGGUGUGAUGGAAUUGGUAGACAUAGGGGACUUAAAAUCCCCUGGCGUGAAAGCCGUGCAGGUUCGAGUCCUGUCACCCAUA